UCAUGUAAUUAUUUAAAAGUCGAACAGACUCUCGUUAAUAAUCACUGCAUUAUUAAGAAAAUUAAAUCAACAUCGAGGUUGUAAUCAUUAUUUUAAAUAAGAUCUUAAAAAUAAAAUUACACUGUUAUCCCUAUGGUAACUUAAUCAAUUAAUUAAUUAUAUUAGAUCAUUUAUAUAAUUACUUUAUUUAAAAUAAUAAUUAAUUAACUUCCCCAGUAAAACUUAAGUAAAGUUCAAUAGGGUCUUAUCGUCUAUUUUAUAAAUUAGUAUUUUUUUAUACUAAAAAUAAUUUAAAUAAAUAAAUUAAAGAAAUUUAUUUAAAUGUUAAAUCUUUUGUUUGGUCUUUAAUUAAAAGACAAGUUAUUAUACUACCUUACA
rnacentral:rRNA from 1 species